UUUUCGUCAAUGGGCGCAAGCCUGAACGAGCGAUGCCGCGUGAGUGAAGAAGGCCUUCGGGUCGUAAAGCUCUGUUGCGGGGGAAAAAAGGCAGCAUCAGGAAAUGGGUGCUGACUGAUGGUGCCCCGCCAGAAAGUCACGGCUAACUACGUGCCAGCAGCCGCGGUAAUACGGAGGGUGCGAGCGUUAAUCGGAAUUACUGGGCGUAAAGCGCUCGUAGGCGGUAUGUCAAGUCAAGGGUGAAAUCCCCGCGCUCAACGUGGGAACUGCCUUUGAAACUGGCAAACUGGAGUGUGUGAGAGGAUAGUGGAAUUCCAGGUGUAGGAGUGAAAUCCGUAGAUAUCUGGAGGAACAUCAGUGGCGAAGGCGACUAUCUGGCACAUAACUGACGCUGAGGAGCGAAAGCGUGGGUAGCAAACAGG
rnacentral:rRNA from 1 species